UUCUUCUAGCUUCCGAGUCUGCUGCAACGGAUCUAGAUCAGCUGCAGUCAACGUAUUCAUCCUACGUUAUCAUAUCGUCUGGGUUCUUGAUCAUUCCUUACUGCAGAUUCAUCACCGUCAAAGCCGUUUUUACCAAUUUCGCAGUGAGGCGACUUUACCAGAAUGGAUUUUAAGAGAAAAAAAAUCUUAACUUCUGUUUUAUUUUUUCCUCCCUCUGGUUUAUCUGUUUUUUUACAGCUGUCUUAUUGUGGUAAAGGGCUUGGGGGAAGUUGUGUGUAUGAUGAGAAGUGCUGCAUAUCAAGCUAAGAAGAGAUGCAACAAUGUACAAUUAGCGCAAGAGACUGUAGCUCACCGCCAAGCCCAUGCUUUGGAGCGUGUAUGAAUUUGCAAUCAGAAUACUGCUGGAAUCUCUACUGAUGAUGAAGACUUAUGAGAUUGAAGCUUUUAGUCAGGACAGAAAGAGAUGGAGGAUACUUUAAUGCUGAUGGGAACUUUGUAGAAUAUGUUAGAGACAAGGAAGUCAAGGUGCAGAUCAAACAUUGGUUUAACGUUUGAGGAAAAUGAGCAAGGUCAAACGUUGGUUUAACGUUUUAGGAACGUGAGCAAGAUCAUAAUGCAAAAUUUGAAAAAGAGUCAGCAAUUGCAAGUCUGGUAAAGGGCACACAGCUUCAAGAUGUCAUCAGUUAAUGUAUACAAAUAUAUCUAUAUAUAUAAAGGAGAGAGACAACUCUCCUUAGGCUAUCCAGCUCAUCGUAUAGCAUAGGGCAUUUUGUGACACGUCAGCAGUGUUGUUUCUAUGUAUUUUUUCUUUUGCGAAAGUGAGUUCCGUUCUUGAUCUUUAUUGGGCUAGGUUUAAUAUACUUAAGUAUCUGAAAACAAAUCAACAAAACUAAGCCCAAGUAAUACAUUUCAUCUAAACCUAAAGCCUCGCCUCUUUUCUUCUUCUUCUAUCUUCGUCGCCAUUCAACGUUUUCCGACUUUUCCACUUCUUCUUCCAUCAUAAUCUCUCAUUCCCAUUAACUCAAACCAUUAUUUCAUUCAUCAAAACAAAAACAGCUUAACUCACAUCACCCUUCCACUUCCCUGUCCCACUCUAUAUAGGACGAUGUCGUCAUAUGAAGCCUUCACACUUCUCAAACCACCACCAAGAAACCACCUUAAGCUACAUUGGCGAACACAUAUUCUUCAGUUCCACAGUUACAUGUGAAGAAUCUUAUAUUGCAAGAGAAGCGACUGGUUCGUUUUCUCCAGAGCUCAGGUACGGUGAUGAUCAUGAGGAAACAAUCGAUUCCGAGGAAGACGAUAACUACUGGUACUCUUUAAUAGUUCCUACAAUCGAUUUGUUUCCUCAUUAAUUGUUUUUCAUUGAUGGUUCUGUUUACCUAAAAUAUGAUGAUUUUACUUUCUUAAUGAACUCUAGAAAAAACCACUCUUUAUGUCUUCUUGGGAUGAUUAACUUAAAAGGAACUUCUCCUGCUGGCUUGAUUGAGGUAUGUUUUCCUUCAUGCAGGUCUCUGAUCGUAUCCUUCUGAUCCAAAUUGUUGCAAGAUGCAGCACCUACCUAAGCAUUCCGAAAAUUGGGUACUGGUAAAAACUCUUUCUCUGACCUUUUUAUCAGUCUAAUCUCCUAAAUUGGAUAUUUUCACUUGUUUAAAUUAUCUGAGACCUUUGUUAGACAUGUUCACUUUCCUUUGGCAGUUGAAAAAGCCAAGUUCUGCUACAUUGCUGCUUUUUCCCCUAGCAUGUACAUCACUAGACUCCAUACAGUAGGCAUGUGAACAUGCCGCUGCAAACACCAAGGUAAACAGAGGCUGAGCUAUGAUCCUUCACUACAACCAAGUUCAUUGAUACUGCUCACAUAUCUGGCAGUGUCCAGAGUAAUCAUUGGAGAUGUAGAGAUAAGCAAGACUCUUGCUUGAACCAAGUACAUGGAGUAUGCUUUGGAAUGAGACUGAGGCAAGAACCUUCUCCAGGGUUCACGGCUGGGAGACAAUACAAGACGGCUGAUAGCAGGAUCGCCAAAGGGACUUUCAGCCAUAUUGGACUCAUACAUCGUCCAGUAAGUCUCAUUGCCCAAGCAUCUGGAAAUAUUAGCUUUAACCUUACGGUCAUGAAGCUCCCAUGACGCAAAACUCAAAAGUAUAAUAUUUUGGUAAGAGUGAAUGGUUAGCUAGAAUUUUUUGAUUCAAUAAUGAAGUUCUUUUUUUAUUUCUCUGAAACAACUACGUAUGUUGGUAGUUCUCUCAUGAUCUCUGACAAAGAUUUAUGAAAAUAAUUCUUCUUUCUGUAUAAAAUAAUAUGCAUGUUAUAACAAAGUGAAUACUAAUAAUAAUAUCAUUUGCAGGGACAGCGCAAUGCCGCGCCACUAUGCUCAACAUGGGAUUUGCAAGUUUGUGUCAGCCUGCAAAAUUGAUCACUCCAUGACCUCUUAUUCUUCACUCGCUGACAUGCCUGUUGCGCCUUAACCUCUUGGGUCUUGAUUACUCAGCACAUUAGCUCCAUCAUCAUCCUCCUUGUAUGACCAACACACAAAGAUUCACUCUUCGUGCUCCAUUAAACCCAAAACCACAACAAGUGGUGGCUCAAACUGUUGCUUAUGAAGUCUCUCCGUCUUCUUCUAUCACCGUCGGUGUGAGACAAUUGGAUCAUGUUGAGCCAAAAUAGAUGACCCAUCUAGCAUUGAGGUUAAAACUUCAAGCUAAAGAGACAAAACUCAAAGGACAGAACCUCACUCUAUUCUUUAUCUCUAUUUUUCUUCUUCUUUUUCAUUUGUCAAAUUACCAUGAAGUCCAGGAACUCAGAAGCAUGAAAGAUCUCCACAAACUAGACAGAUGUUUGAGACUAAGUAAGAUAGAUUGGACAACGAUUUUUAUUAUUUACAUGUAAAGAAAAGAGAAAACGAAAGGGUUUGUGUAUUUAUUCUUCCUUUAGCUAGAUCAUCUUAUUUUCUAAAUCUAAGCAAUGAUUAGAAGUCUUACUCAUCGUAAAAAUGAGUGAUCCGGGUUCAUUUAUUCUGUCUGCUAUUUUCCCUUACAUUAUGACAUCCAACUUUCUUUUGCGCGUUUGUUUCUCUUUCAAAACAAAUGGUUUCACUUUUAAAAUUUCAGAAUUUUAUAGCUUGAUACAUAACAAAGAAUAAAAGCUCUCAUAAAUAAUCUUAAAUGCGGUCAACUGAUUUGCUACAUCACUUUUUGUUUUUUGUUUUUGAGAAAUCAAUUUUCAUAUGUUGCAAAAUAAAGUCGGUAUCAAUGACAUGUAAUUAAGUAACAAAGUUUUAUCUUUCAGGCCUAGAUGUCUUUAAUCUUAGUUUCAAAGUACUUUCCCUCAAAUUAUUCAUUUCUACAUCAUUUUUAUUUUUCAAGAGUUACAAACGUCCAUGUCUCUUUUUAUUCCGGUUAAAGAUAAACACGUCCACUCUACACAAUAAAAAAAUUUGUAUCGAUAUGAAAGAAUGAAAAUCUACUUUUUGGGUUUGAUGAUUCUAAAGAGUUAUUCAUUUCUACAUCAUUAUUUUUUUCCCAGAGUUACAAACGUCCAUGUCUCAUUUCAUUCCGAUUAAAUAUUAACACCUCCACUGUACACAAUAAAAAAAUUUGUAUAAAGAAUGAAAAUCUACUUUUUGGGUUUGAUGAUUCUAAAAAAAAUUUGGUCAACCAAUAAGUUCAAACCAAAGUUCAUAAUCUAUUCAAAUCAGUUUAUGUCGUUGGACGGUUGUUUGUUGUUCUUCUAAUACAAUAACAUGGUGUUGUCACAUACUAGAUAUAAUUGCAACUACAUUCUAAUCGGCAAAACUAUUAAGAAAUCUACACAUAAAGUUAUAUGUAUUUAAACUUAGGUCUGGGACGGAUCGGGUAUCCAUGCAAUUUUAAGAUAUCCAGAUCCUUAUCUAGCGGAUCCAUAAUUUUACUAUCCUCAUUCGGAUCCGGGGUUUGCGG